UAAGCUGUGUGGUGCAGCCCAAAACAAAACAAAACAAAACAGGUUGAAAAUGUCCUUUCAGCAAAGAUAUUUGCCACUCUUGGCUCCUGUGCUUA